GUGUCAGCCGCCGCGGUAAUACGUAGGUGGCAAGCGUUGUCCGGAUUUAUUGGGCGUAAAGGGCGUGUAGGCGGUUCAUUAAGUUCGGGGUGAAAUCUCCCGGCUCAACUGGGAGGAGCCCCCGGAUACUGAUGGACUAGAGGGGGGCAGAGGAAGGUGGAAUUCCCGAAGUAGCGGUGAAAUGCGUAGAUAUCGGGAGGAACACCGGUGGCGAAGGCGGCCUUCUGGGCCUACCCUGACGCUGAGGCGCGAAAGCGUGGGGAGCAAACCGGAUUAGAUACCCGGGUAGUCCACGCCCUAAACGUUGGACACUAGGUGUGGGGGGUAUCGACCCCCUCCGUGCCGCAGCUAACGCUUUAAGUAUCCCGCCUGGGGAGUACGGUCGCAAGGCUGAAACUUAAAUGAAUUGACGGGG
rnacentral:rRNA from 1 species